GGGUGGAGCCUAGCAGUGCUGUGGGUCUCAGAAGGCAGAGCUCUGGGCACAUCCACCAUGGCCUGGACCCCUCUCCUGCUCCCUGUCCUCACUCUUUGCACAGGCUCCAUGGCCUCCAGUGUGUUGACUCAGCCUCAUUCGGUGUCAGUGUCCCUGGGACAGACAGCUACCAUCACCUGCUCUGGAGAGAUACUGUCAGAAAGUUAUGCAUAUUGGUACCAGCAGAAGCCAGGCCAACCCCCUGUGCAGGUCAUUUAUAAGGACACUGAGCGUCCCUCUGGGAUCCCAGACCGAUUCUCUGGCUCCAGUUCAGGGACCACACACACCCUGACCAUCAACGGGGCCCAGGCCGAGGAUGAGGCUGACUAUUACUGUCAGUCAUCAGAUAGCAGUGGUGAAGCUCACAGUGACACAGGCAGAUGGGGAAGUGAGACAAAAUCCCCUUCCCUGCCUGUGUCUCAACCUCCUCCAGCCCCAGGAGAACUAUGCACAGAGCAGGGAGCAGACUCUGUGACCUCCAGUGAGCUGACUCAGCCGCUCUUUGUGUCAGUGGCCCUAGGUCAGAUGGCUAAAAUCACCUGCACUGGAGAGGAACUGGAAUAUGGUUAUGUACAUUGGUACCAGCAGAAGCCAGGUCAAGCCCCUUUGAUGGUCUUUUAUGAUGAUAGUCAGCGGCCCUCUGGGAUCCCAGAGCAAAUCUUUGGCUCCAAGUCAGGGAACACGGCCACCCUGACCAUUGGCAGAGCACAGGCUGAGGACUAG